UACGUAGGGUGCAAGCGUUAAUCGGAAUACUGGGCGUAAAGCGUGACGCAGGCGGUUCUAUAAGACAGAUGUGAAAUCCCCGGGCUCAACCCUGGGAACUGCAUUUGUGACUGUAGAGCUGGAGUACGGUAGAGGGGGAUGGAAUUCCGCGUGUAGCAGUGAAAUGCGUAGAUAUGCGGAGGAACACCGAUGGCGAAGGCAAUCCCCCUGGACCUGUACUGACGCUCAUGCACGAAAGACG
rnacentral:rRNA from 1 species